CAAGGCGUAGCUACAAGACAUAAAGCAUUCAGCUUACACCUGAAAGAUACCUCAAAUAUAAGGUCGCCUUGA
rnacentral:tRNA from 1 species